CUGUCUCAUCUCAAUCAAAUCCCUAAAAAUCUCUCAUCAACAUUUAAUUCUAAUAACAUGCAAUUUCAGUCCAGUAAAUUAACAUCCAAAUAUACGAAGAAAUUACAUAGAGUUAAAGAUCAAAACUUUCCUCCCCCUUCUCAUUCCUUCCAUAACCCCAGAAACAAGGAAAACGAAAAGAUGCAGGGAGGAGAAACCCAGCAGCAAGAUCAUCGGAGCAUUCUAUAGCACUGUAUCCGAUUCAUAUAGGGAAAAGGGAAUAGCCGAAAAAGAUCACGUUUUAGGAGUAAAGAUGAAGGGAAGGUAGCAGAAAAGGGGUGUUUUCGUUGUUUCCGGCGCCUCUGUUCUGCAAUAACACGCCGUUUCGUGUUUCGUUCUCUAAUCCCUUUUUCUUCUGCGCCAUUCUCGCACCCAAGGUUUCAAUGCAAUUUCCAGUUCUCACUGUCACAAUCUCAUCUUCACCAUAAUCGCAUUCACCGGCGUUUUUCCUCGAAAUUAAUACAGUGACAAAUACGAAGCAGCCAUUUCGUUCAAGUUGUCUCCAUAUUUCAAAAGUCUACACUGAAAAAGCUGAACAUCUUAUAGCAUUAUCUCCGACUCCUCUAG